AAACAACACAAAACUAGAAAACCUAGAAACUUGUGAACAGCAAAUACAGAAGCAGGAACCCCACAGGCUAAGAUCUGGGAGAGAAGACAGGAACUGAAAUAAACCCAGUAUCUGAUAUAAUUUUUGUCUCCAUGCAUUUGCCAGAUGCUAAGCCUCUCUCCAUAUUCUAAGAAGAUGAGUGUAAUGGAAGCAGAGUGGAGGAGAAGCCAAGUGGAAAAUGACUAAGAGGUCAUGAAACUGAGCAAAGCUUUUGGCAGUCUGUGGACCUUGGGAUGAAGAGGAAGAAACAUUAAAGCAAGGCUUGCUCCACGGUGAAGAGACCCUGGUAAAAUCUCUGGCUUUUAUUGAACGAGUACACUGGUAAAGGAGUACACUGGGGGAGUGAUUGCUCACCAGAAAUGGAAUAGAACUUAUAAAACUGGAACCCAG
rnacentral:lncRNA from 1 species